UCCUGGUUAGCUCAGUUGAUAGAGCGCUCCUCUGGAAAUGAAGAGGUUCCUGGUUCGAUACUAGGGCCAGGCG
rfam:Ixodes scapularis strain Wikel colony gcontig_1108379427750, whole genome shotgun sequence.